rnacentral:tRNA from 1 species
GGCGCUAUAGUGUAGUGGUUAUCACUUGGGAUUCUGACGAGUGUUCCCAAAACCCAGGUUCGAGCCCUGGUAGCGCCU